CACGUAGGGCGCGAGCGUUGUCCGGAAUUAUUGGGCGUAAAGAGCUCGUAGGCGGCCUGUUGCGUCCGCUGUGAAAGCCCGGGGCUUAACCCCGGGUCGGCAGUGGAUACGGGCAGGCUAGAGGUAGGUAGGGGAGAAUGGAAUUCCCAGUGUAGCGGUGAAAUGCGCAGAUAUCGGGAGGAACACCGGUGGCGAAGGCGGUUCUCUGGGCCUUACCUGACGCUGAGGAGCGAAAGCGUGGGGAGCGAACAGG
rnacentral:rRNA from 1 species